rnacentral:rRNA from 1 species
GAUCAACGCUGGCGGCGUGCCUAAUGCAUGCAAGUCGAACGGGGUGUCCUUCGGGCACUUACGUGGCGGACGGGUGAGGAACACGUGGGCAACCUGCCUGAUGGAGGGGGAGUAACCGCUGGAAACAGUGGGUAAUACCGCAUAAUCUCUGGCUACGAGUGGGUAGUAAGAGGAAAGUCGUAAGACGCCGACAGAGGGGCCUGCGUCCGAUUAGCUAGACGGUGGGGUAACGGCCUACCGUGGCGAUGAUCGGUAGCUGGUUUGAGAGGAUGAUCAGCCACACGGGGACUGAGACACGGCCCCG